UACUUAGUGGCGGACGGGUGAGUAACGCGUGGGUAACCUGCCUUACACUGGGGGAUAACACUUAGAAAUAGGUGCUAAUACCGCAUAAGCGCACGAAGCCGCAUGGAUUUGUGUGAAAAACUCCGGUGGUGUAAGAUGGACCCGCGUCUGAUUAGCUUGUUGGCGGGGUAACGGCCCACCAAGGCGACGAUCAGUAGCCGGCCUGAGAGGGUGGACGGCCACAUUGGGACUGAGACACGGCCCAGACUCCUACGGAAGGCAGCAG
rnacentral:rRNA from 1 species